UACGAAGGUGUCGAACGUUGUCCGGAAUAACUGGGCGUAAAGGGCGCGUAGGCGGUCGGGUAAGUGGGAUGUGAAAGCUCUGGGCUCAACCCAGGAAUUGCAUUCCAUACUGCUCGACUUGAGUUCGGUAGAGGAGGGCGGAAAUUCCAGGUGUAGCGGUGAAAUGCGUAGAUAUCUGGAGGAACACCCGUGGCGAAGGCGGCUCUCUGGUCCGAUACUGACGCUGAGGCGCGAAAGCUAGGGUAGCAAACAGG
rnacentral:rRNA from 1 species